CUUUCCUUCAUACGUAAAAUUUGGGAUUCUCCUACAUUUAACUAAACUUAUUUCAUAGGCUUACAUAUCUCAUCGUUACUUACCCAAAUUGUCUAUGCUUCGACUUUCGAAACUUUCACUGCAGCUUUUCUGUGAACACUAAGAAGGGUACACAUCACUAAUAUCAGAGUGGCACAUGACAUUUCUGGAGAUCUCAUCGCAGCCCCAAUUACUAAACACAACAAUUCUGGAGAUCUCAUCGCAGCCCUAUUACUAAACACAACAAUUAUGUCUCUGAAAGUGAAAGAGAAGUAGUAGGUCAGAUCUGACACAAAUGGAUACUGGAAUUCAUAAUGACACCAGAGACAAAGUACAGUGACUAUCCAUCCUCACUUCACUUAGCACCUUUCAAUAUGGAUUUUGAAGGCCGAGUACGACAUCUGUGGUCCAUCCAUUGUCCACAACAAAUGCGUCUAAGGCAUCCUGUAAGGAUCAUAUAGGCAAAUGCAAGCUCACUGUCUUAAAUUACUACGCUGUGAUAAGACCGAGAGAAGGCAAACAACAGAUCAAAUUGCAUCUAUGGUCCUUUUUACCCAGUGUCCACCUCUGCUCAAAAGUCGAAUAACAACAACCACAACUCUCACUUCGAAUCUCCUUUAAACUUUUUCCCAUCUUAUUUUCUUUGACUGCUUCAAAUCUACUUCUGAUACUACUGUUUGGUUAAAUAUAUUUCGUACAAACAUGGUACUAAGAUUGAACAUCGACCGAAUAGAAUUAGCAACACGAGAUUGGAUUUGCAAAAUUCAAAUUGUGGAAAUUGGACGCCCGCGAAAAAGUCUUGACAAGAAAUGUAGAUUCCAAAUUUUCAUUUUGGAAGAUGAAGAGGAAUGCCAGAUUAAGGCACUUCUGUAUGCCGAUGAAAUUGAGCAGUAUGCAGUAUGAAAUUGACUAGCUUGAUUACUUCAGAGUUAGGAUAAUAUUUAUCACAAAGUAUCCAAAAAGCUUCUAUUGAUCAAAAGUUCAUGAUUUCUUUAAAGCUUCUCAUGCAAUAGGAGUUGUACACUACAUUACUGAUCAUUUAACAAUAGCAUUAAGCUUCUCAUGAAAUUGCCGAUGAAUAUAUGAUCGUAGCCUUUGGACAUCAAUUGCGUCAGCCUCAUUCCCCCAUGUAUUGUUCUUUUUGAAAUUUCCAUUUGUUGUUUUCCACUUUCUGUACUAAAAAUGUCCCACUUUGGAGGCUACUAUUUAAAUUGUUUUGCUAUGUUUUGCCAUAUUUUCAGUUUCUCACAAGCUUCAAACUGUCUAAUUACAGGAACUCCCUCACUCCAUUUUGUGACUUUUGCUUAAUAGGGAGAAUACAAUGAAUCGGUCUCCCUAUGCUAUGGCUUUUUGAAUGAAGAAGAUUAGCUACUAAGAAGCAAACUCCGGCGUCCUCUACAUAUGAUAACAAUGACAUGCUAAUCUUAUAUACCAAAAAUGAAACAUCUGCUAUAUUAUUUUGGUUCUACAAUAUUAGUUAGUAUUUGCAGAUCGUUGAAGUCGGCAUCAUACUGAUGUCUGUUGUACAUAUUCUCAAAAUAUAUCUAAUAGUAUAUAACAUAUCAUAUUAUCCAUCUU